CCUACGGGAGGCUGCAGUGAGGAAUAUUGGUCAAUGGCCGGAAGGCUGAACCAGCCAAGCCGCGUGAAGGACGAAGGUGCCAAGCAUUGUAAACUUUUUUUGUCACGGGACAAAAUCAUGCUCGAGUGCCUGACCGAGGGUACUUGAAGAACAAGCAUCGGCUAACUUCGUGCCAGCAGCCGCCGUACUACGGAGGAUGCGAGCGUUAUCCGGCUUUAUGGGGUUAAAAGGGUGCGUAGGCGGACUGUUAAGUCAGCGGUAAAAGCCCGGGGCUCAACCCCGGCGAGCCGUUGAAACUGGCUGUCUUGAGAUGUCGAGAGGUAUGCGGAAUGCGCAGUGUAGCGGUGAAAUGCUUAGAUAUUGCGCAGAACUCCGAUUGCGAAGGCAGCAUACCGGCGGCGAUCUGACGCUGAGGUACGAAAGCGUGGGUAUCGAACAGGAUUAGAUACCCCUGUAGUC
rnacentral:rRNA from 1 species